ACAAAAGGAUCGACAGAAACAAGAUCUCAAAAAUACAAAAUUGCUCUUCAAUCUUCAUCUUCAUCUUCUUCCCCUUUCCAACCGUGAGACACAAUCAUGACGGCUGCGGCGGCUAGAGGCAGCGAGCGGCGGUGAGAGGACAACAAAUGAAAGAGGACCACCACUUUUCAGAUAUCUAUUACAUGUCAUGAAUGUGACAACUCCAAGCAAGGACUUCCUGGAGCUUGUGAGAGAGUUGCUUGAACUCUUAAUAAAGGCCAGAAGUCAGAGGAGUUUGACCAGGCAAGAGAUAUGUUGAAAACAGCACCACCAUCAUUACUGUUUGUUGCAAAAAGCCUAGAUGAUGACGAAUGGUAUGCAAGAAAGAUUGCAGAAGAACUCAAAAAAAGUUAUGUGAAGUUGAAGAAUGUGAGAGUGGAAAGAGGUUCGAAGAGG